AAAAAAAAAACCUAAAUCUAAAAGUUUUCUCUCAAACUCGCAGAAGAACGGAGAGCACAGCCUCCAGCUUCCCUUCUUCUGCCGCUUCACCUUCACCUCUGCCCGUUUUUGCUCGGAGGGAGGGAUUCAUUGGUGCCCCACGAUGGUAAGUUUUCUCCUUCUCCUCUCUUAUUUCUCCCCUUUUUUUUACAUAAUUGCUGAAUAAAUAAAUAGAAAAGAAUAAACCAGAGAAAAAGGAACACUGCAAUCACCUUUAGAAUUUUUGCUUUCCUCUGAAAAUUUUUAUGUUUCUCGUAUUCCAUAUCCGUAAAAAUUACAAAUUUUCCAAUGGCCUUAUAUAGCCAAUAAUGAUCGAAUAGAAAAAAAAGAAAAUUACAGAAAAUCCCUCAUUAUUUGCAAUCUUUUCUUGUUAUUCUUCGUUGCUGUUUUGUCUGCUUCUGUCUAUUGCAGGUACGGAGGAGUCCAGCUGGCGGUACGGAGAUGCACACGAGGGCAGAGACUCGGCACGCGCCUGGGAGGGUCUCGUGUGUGUGGCUAGCGGCGGCUGAGGCAGAAGGUUGCCGAAGGCUAGGGUUUCAGUCUCAGUUAGGCUAGGUGUUGGGCUAGAGUUUAGAUAAUCCACAAGGUUAGGAUGCAGACUCGACAUUCGGAGGGCUUGACUCAGAUUAUUAAUUUUAUACAAAAGUAUUUUAGACUUUUUAAUUUACAAAUUUUGUUAUUUGAAACUUUACCGUUUUAUUUAAAUUGCGGCAUAGGACUUAGUUUUCGAAUUUUACUUAGGCAUGUAUGACAUUUAAUUCAUUUAGACUAUUAAAAUAUGAAUUUUUAAUUUA